rnacentral:rRNA from 1 species
UACGUAGGUGGCAAGCGUUGUCCGGAAUUAUUGGGCGUAAAGCGCGCGCAGGCGGUUUCUUAAGUCUGAUGUGAAAGCCCACGGCUCAACCGUAGAGGGUCAUUGGAAACUGGGAAACUUGAGUGCAGAAGAGAAAAGCGGAAUUCCACGUGUAGCGGUGAAAUGCGUAGAGAUGUGGAGGAACACCAGUGGCGAAGGCGGCUUUUUGGUCUGUAACUGACGCUGAGGCGCGAAAGCGUGGGGAGCAAACAGG